GGAGCCGGACGGUUCGUCGCGCGCAGCCCUCAGAGGCUGUGUGAGGAAAGUCCGGGCAACGCAGAGCGCCAUAGUUUUUAACGGAAACCUGUCGGAAUUCAUAACGGCAGAUUAGCGUGACAGAAAAUAACCGCCGGACCUUUCGGGGUCCGGUAAGGGUGAAAAGGUAAGGUAAGAGCUUACCGGGCCGCAUGGUGACAUGAGGCGCCGCACGCAUUAUGGGUUGCAAGGUCAAGUAUACCGGCAAUUAAGGGUUGCUCGCCCGCUGCCGGGGGGUAGACUGCUAAAGCGCGAUUCGUGGCAACACGCCGCUCAGAUAAAUGACGGACCGGCCCGGCGGUUCGGCUUGCCGAUAACCGCUUCGGUGCUGACAUAACCCGGCUUAUAGUCCGGCUCCUUUU
rnacentral:RNase_P_RNA from 1 species